AUGGAUUGUACUAGAAGUUCGUGAGCUGACCUUCGGGAGGCAGCGACCCACGGUAUGAUCCAUGAUUGGGGUGAAGUCGUAACAAGGUAGCUGUAGGUGAACCUGCAGAAGGAUCA
rnacentral:rRNA from 1 species